rnacentral:misc_RNA from 1 species
AAGUCGUAACAAGGUUUCCGUAGGUGAACCUGCGGAAGGAUCAUUAACAUCUUCUUCAUUGAAUUGUGUGGUGUUUGGAGUGUGUGGGUUUCGCAAGAGACUAACACUUCACCACCCUCAACCCCAUUGUGUGCAUGUUUGUGUGUGUGUGUGUGAGUAGUAAAGAGAGGUGCUCUUUUGUACCUCGCUUUCCUCUCCCUCUCACCACUAUUUUUCACUUCAUUUACCCCUAACCCCUUCUUCUCAUCACACUAGACUGACUUUACACCUCGUUUUACUCAGCUACUGAGCAAAACAUCAAUCAGCAUACAACUCUUAGCAACGGAUAUCUAGGCUCUC